UUGCCUACGGGAGGCUGCAGUGGGGAAUAUUGGACAAUGGGCGAAAGCCUGAUCCAGCCAUGCCGCGUGAGUGAUGAAUGCCCUAGGGUUGUAAAGCUCUUUCGGCGGGGAAGAUAAUGACGGUACCCGCAGAAGAAGCCCCGGCUAACUUCGUGCCAGCAGCCGCGGUAAUACGAAGGGGGCUAGCGUUGCUCGGAAUUACUGGGCGUAAAGCGCACGUAGGCGGGUCGUUAAGUCGGGGGUGAAAUCCUGGAGCUCAACUCCAGAACUGCCUUCGAUACUGGCGAUCUCGAGUCCGGGAGAGGUGAGUGGAACUCCGAGUGUAGAGGUGAAAUUCGUAGAUAUUCGGAAGAACACCAGUGGCGAAGGCGGCUCACUGGCCCGGUACUGACGCUGAGGUGCGAAAGCGUGGGGAGCAAACAGGAUUAGAUACCCUAGUAGUCU
rnacentral:rRNA from 1 species